GGGGGGGUGGCGGCGGCUCCCUGACUGACUGACAGACACCCCUCUGGCUGCUAAAAAGCUCCAGCGCCUUGUUCCUGUCGUUGCCUUCUUUUCUCCUCCAGGUUUUAUUUUUGGCUACUGACCUUGACAGGAGCCUAUCCUUUCCUGCUUCCUCCAGCCAAACACAUCCCCUACACCUUCCACUACAUCAGGAGUGUGCUGUUGAAAUAGUUUUGUCCUUCUCACUAGAUUGUACAUUCUCUUCGACAGGUUUCUCUUUGCUUUCUCUUCGGAGUGUUUUAACUUGUAUUGAAGCGUUAACGGAUAAGUAAUUUGUGUCCUUUGCUUUGCAGGUCUUUCUUUAAGAGGAAAGCAGGGAAAAGAGCAGACUCUGUUUAAAGGAAGAGUGGUUUAAAAAGAAAAGGAUAGAACACAGACCCCUGUAAAACUCAUUGCCUUCCAUAGGCUACUGUGGCUAAACCAAUCGCAGGACAGACUCACUGUGUUUAACAGUGUCUGUCUGUACACCGGAAGGGCCUUCAUGCCUACAUCAACCAUGCAGUGAGGGUGAGCUGGCAGUGUGCCCCCUCUCUCCAUGCUGGCUUUGGGCCUAGAGCAGGGGAGAGGAGAGGGGAGAGGUGGAUCCCCCUCAAAAACACUCCUGUUUCAGUAAGACUUCAACUGCAAUCCCUUUGCAAUCUCUUACAACAGACACUACAAACAUUUUCCAAUUAGAUAGGAUGAUCCCCAACAAUGAGGAACUGAAUGUGGGUGGUGUGUUGGAAGUUAAGUUGACCAAACACCUACCUCUGUCAGUGGAUGACCAUGGAGAGAGCUUGCCCCCAGGGAAUUUCUAUACCUCAAGGGGCUUCUGGCGGAGGCUGGAGGGAGACAAGUUGUUCUGGGAAAUACCUCAGCAGAGCCUCAGAGUCAUCUAUCUCCCUCACCUUUGACCAUGUCCAGCUGAACACCUGACCAGAGACAACACAUAUGAGGAUGUCAAGCCGUCUCCUACUAUGUGUCUCCCCAUUGUGCGUCCCCGACCCUGGACCAUGGCACAGAGACAAAAACCCUCUCACCCCAAAGCUUCCUCCCAAGCCUCUCACGUUGUGGGUGGAGAGGAAGGACUCACUGGCAGCGACACAAUCCUCACCUACAGAAGCCCCCCCUAGACCUGCCUUACCCAAGCGACCCACAACCAUCCAUAAAACACACAGACUGCCUCAGAGGAGACCAGUGGAACUGAAAGUGACCCAGAGGACAACACUAAAGGAGGGUCCAGGCGCUCGGUCUAUGUCCAGUCCACGCUGAAGCGGAGGCCAGUCUACCGCUCCCUGGAGAGGGACCUGAUCCAGCUCCAGCAACAGCAGCUCUUUCAGUUCUUUAAACUCCUACACCCCUGAGAUCACGCAACAGUUUCCCAACAAGUUUGAGAAGUCUUCCCGUCACUCCCGUGAAGCCGACGACCGGCUGAAGGCCAUUCCCAUGUUCUGCUUCCCAGACUCUCAGGACUGGCGGCCUUCUGGACACCUGCACAGGUAAGCUUCUGUCACAUUCACAUUAUGGUCACAGUAUGUAGCAGUGGUGUUACAAUAAGGGAAUUCAUGUAAUAUAAAUAUGCAUACAACCACUUAAUAUGAGCAUUGGAACAGGUAAAACAUUUCAAAAGUAGCUACGUUUUUGUAAUAAUUACUGUGCUAAAAUGAAGUUAUUAUAUGAUGAUGUAAGAAUUAAGUCCAAGACAUGUCCAAUGAAAUGGAGAUUAUCUAGUGAUUCAGACAAAGAGUAACAUGAUUGCAGUUCAUAUGCCAUGCUUUGUCUUUUCCCCCAAGGGAGACUGCACGAGAACACUGCUUAACUCUAUCACUUUGUGCAUCCCUGUCCUAUUGUCUAUGCUUUUAUCCGUCUUUGUAGUGAAACCUUCUCUUUUGUCUUGACGGGAGAGGAUGUCAGCCGGUGCUUUUGUUACUGUCGUAAUAUCCUGGUGAGUGUGUGUGAAUGAGUCAUUACGUUGUGUGUGAGGACUAGGCAGUAAAGUGCGUACGCAACAUCUCUAAGGGAUAUACUACAGUCAUAGGCCGUAAAACCUCUGAAUCAGUGACCCAAACUAAACAUAAUUUCAUAAUUGUUUUUCAUAACAUAAUUUGUCCACGUGUUAAAUCCAUGACUGUACAUUUAAUGUUAGAUUUGUGUGUUUUAAAUGUAUUGCGCUGUUGUUUAUUUUUACUAUUUUAUGGUCUGGACUGAGUGUUUGUUUACCCCUGGAAUGCCAGCGUUGAUACAGCGUUGCAAUAACAUUGUUGAUACUGAUUGGCAGGGUUGGUUUUCAUGCUGAUUUGUGUUUAUUUGUGCCUUUUAGCCAAGAGUCUGUGAGAGCCAGAAAUCUUGCUUGUUUGUAGGUGACCAAAUACUUAUUUUCCACCAUAAUUUGCAAAU